rnacentral:lncRNA from 1 species
AUCCUUACUACUCGUCGAGUGGAACAGCUGCAGCAUGUUCGUGUCUCGGAACUUCAAAACUGGAUCAAACAGUUGUAUAAUGUUUGGUGCAGCCAAAAGAGUGAAUCUGGCUAUGCCUUGGUGGAGCUGAAGCAAUGGUUUUCUCACCUCUCAUUCAACAUGGUUCUUCAAAUGGUCGUUGGGAAGAGAUAUUUUGGUGGUGAAAACUUGGAAGAUGAGAAGGCACAGAGAUGUGUGAGGGCUAUGAGGGAGUUCAUGCGUCUGUUUGGGGUGUUCACAGUGGGAGAGUUUGUUCCAUGGUUGAGAUGGUUUGAUUUUGGAGGCCAUGAGAAGGCAAUGAAAGCAACUGCAAAAGAGUUGGAUAGUAUUAUAGGUGAGGAGUUAGAGGAACAUAGAAAAAGGAAGGGUUUGGGUGAGAAGGUUGAUGAAGCUAAAGAUUUCAUGGAUGUAAUGAUUUCAUUGCUUGAUGGAACAACUAUUGAAGGGAUCGAUGCAGAUACCAUGAUCAAAUCCACCGUGCUGGUACGUAUGUUUAAUUCACACGUUAUAAUGCUUUGGAAAUGUGAAACUUCAACAAAACUAAACAUAUAAAUACAACAUAAUUCUUCAUUAAAUUUGGUAUUUAGUGUUGAAACACUUGUUGUAGGGGAGAUGAGGAUUAUGGGUAGAAUUAUAUAUAUGGAUGAGGUCUAUGACUGUCUUAUUAUGUUCUAUAGACUCUAUAGGGAGUGGGAACCUUUUGAAUUUUUAUUGGUAUUCUUAAUGUAUUCCUUUUAAUUCAUUUUAUUCAUCAUUGAUAAAAUAAAUUAAAUUUGAAAUAUUUCCUCAGAAACUUACCUUAAAAACAUUACAAAACCCUAAACCAACUUCUCUUACAGAAGUACAGUUUUUUUUUUUUUGGCACAAGAAGUCUAAUUUCUUUCACUUAUUCUUUACACAAGUGUGUUUUAUCGUCUUUACCGUUUAUAUGGGGUUCAUUUGAUAGACAUGAGUGUUUUUUUGGGAGAGUGAGGGAUAUAGUGAUGUUGUGAUUGGGAGAGAAAGGGACAUUUGUGGUGUUGCGUGAAUGAAAAUCCAUGGACCACUUACAAUUUUUUUUUCUGUUUUUCUACUUUGAUUUGGUUUUUGUGAAAAAUAAUGAAAUUUUGAAAAAAAAAACUUGUAAGUUAUACAUCAUUAGUUUAGAAAUUGUUUACUUUUUCGAUGGUGGAAAUUUAUAAUGAUUAUAGAACUCAAGCAAGUAAUCCCUAGAAAAUAAAUUAAAUUAAAUAACUUUUUCUUGUAAAUUAAAAUUAAUUUUAACCUAAAUUGUUUUUAAUAAUACGUUUUCUGAACCUGAUCUUAAUUUUCUUCACUUAAAUAUUUCUCUUGGGUCACUUAUUUGAUUUGCAGGCAGUGAUAUCAGGAGGAACUGACACAACUAAUACAGUUCUUACGUGGGCAUUAUCUUUGAUUUUAAGAAAUCCUUCUGUGCUAGAAAAAGUAAAAGAGGAACUAGACAUUCAUAUUGGAAAAGAAAAAUGCGUAAGUGAGUCCGAUAUAAGUAAGUUAAUAUAUGUUCAAGCUAUAGUCAAAGAAACUUUAAGAUUGUAUCCUCCUGCUCCUACUUCGGGACCUCGUGAAUUCACAGAGAAUUGCACUUUAAGAGGUUAUAAUAUAAAAAAGGGAACCCGACUAAUCAUAAAUCUUUGGAAGAUUCAUACAGAUAGUAAUGUUUGGGAAGAUCCUUUAGAGUUCAAACCAGAAAGGUUUCUUACAACUCAUAAAGAUACUGACAUCAAAGGCCAUCAUUUCGAGUUAUUACCAUUUGGGGGUGGUAGAAGAAUUUGUCCAGGAGUAUCCUUUGGCCUUCAAAUGGUGCAUUUCAUUCUUGCUAGUCUUUUGCAUUCUUUUGAAAUUAUAAGUUCAUCACCAAAUCCUAUUGAUAUGACUGAAAUCUUUGGAUUAACCAACACCAAAGCCACUCCACUUAAUAUUCUUAUUAAACCACGCCUAUCUCUUAAUUGUUAUGAAAACAACUAAGCCUUUUAUUAGCUACGUGAUUACAUUGUAUUUUUGUUUCUACUAAAUAAUUCAAAGUACUUGCUAUGUUUGUAGUUCCUCAAAUUGUAUAUUUGUAUUUUCGUUUAUCAGUACUUGUAACAUUUGUAGUUUACUUUUGUAAAUUUUGUAACUCUUUUAAAUAUAUAAUUGAUAAAAGUAUAAUUACAGCGUAUAUUCUCACCAUUUUAACUUUUUUAUUCUUUAUUGAUUUUUUUUUUCUUAUCAUUCUUAUUGUUGCGUUGUUAAAAUUUAAGUUUGUAUUUUUGACUAUUUUUGUUUAGUUCAUUUUCAUAUACUAGAAAUAACGAUGAUAAUUUGCUUAUUUUCUUUUUUUCAAACAUCAAUGUUUAUCGACUCAAGAAAUCAUAUAUACCAAAUUUAUAUUAUUUUAGUUUUGAACAAAUCAACUUACUAUCUACUUAAUUUUUCAAUUUUUUCAACCAAUCAAAUUAGUUCAUCUUCAACUUAAUUAAUCCUACCUCGUUAUCAAUAUCUAAAAAUAAGAAUUUUCAUCAUCUUAAUAUCAAAUAAAAUUUGUUAACAUUUUUAGUUUUUUUUUUAAAGUUAUUGAGCUUUGUUUGUUUGGCCCAACUUUCUUUUUCUGUUUCAACUAGAUCUUAGUCUUUUUCUUAUAUAUACACAAUGUAUUUUACUCUCUAAUACACACAUAAAUAAGAAUUUCUUUUGUAUUUUUUUUCUCUGCGUUUCUCUCUUUUAUGCUUAAGUCGUUGUCUUCUUUUCAUUUGCAAUUAGGGUUCAUUAGAACCUCCCUCUCUCCAUUGCGAUUACGUGCGCUCCAUUUGAUGCACCACAUCAAACAAGGAAUAUUCAUCUUCAUUAACUGUAAUAUGGUAUCAGAGCUCUUCAUUCGAAGAGCUCUGUUGCGCUUCUCUAUGAUCUUUAUUUCCUCCUUUGUUGUUCUUGGUUAUCUUUUCUAUUAUCUUUCAAAAUCUUGAUUGGGUUUCAAAAUCUCUUAGACAAUGUCUAAUGAAAACCAUAGUCUUCAUAGUCUUAAUAGUAGUCACACUAUUACAUGCAAUUUUUGUGGUAAAUACGGUCAUACUGAGGUUGUUUGUUUCGCAAAGUGGGUUUUCCUUCAGGUAAUGUUAAAACCUCAAAGUUUUAUUCUACUAGAAAAGUCUACACUUUUUGUAAUCGUCUAAAAAAGUAUGGGUUUUCUCCUGGCUACAAAUUCACCAAUUGGACAUCCCAAGGCAAUAGUACAAUUACUACUGAUACUUUUUUUGAACUUUUUCCUAAAGAACAGGAUGUAAAGGGAAUUCAACUUACAUCACAAUAGUGCCAAUUAGAUAUCAAUUUAAUAACUAUUUAUCAUUAAUAGAAACUAAUUUAGAAAUUAAUAAUUUUUUAAUAUCUAAAAUGGUCUCUAAUUUAAUCAAUAUAGUAACUAAUUAUUUUUUGUCUCUAAAAUUAGUUUUUAAUUAAAUAUUAUUUUUAGUGCUUGUUUAUCGCAUUUAAAUUUCAUUUCAAUUACUCAAUAAUAAACCAAAUAAUAUAUUUUUAUAAAUUUGGUGAAUAUAAAAGUUAUGUGUUACAAUUUUAUUGGUAUAAUAGACUUUUAUCUAGUCUUUUCUUAAAACUUUUUAUUAAUAGAUAUAUACUAUAUAUGUAUAUUUUUGUUAAUAUAUGGAUUUUAAUCUAAUUUCCUAUAUUUACUUGUAUUUCAUUUUUUUUAAUAAUAUAUUUUUUAUGUAGUGAUAGAUUAUUGUUAUUAUUUGAAGUGUGAUGUGAAGUUCCAAUGUCUGAUAUGAGAUUUUUUUAUUUUUUAUUUUAAUUUUUGUGUUAGUUUAAUGAAUAAAAAAAAUGAAUUCGGUAUGUAUAUUGUUUGAUAGUAAUAUAUGGUAGCCGCAAUAUUAACUAUUAAAAUAUCAUUUUGGUUUGAUUUAAUAUUUCAACAUUAUUAAAGUUUUACAUGUAAGAUAUUUUAAUCAUUUACUUAUUUUAAUGAUAUUUUCAAGAAAAAAAAUGUAGUUGACAAUAUAUUUUUAGAAAUCAAAUUGAUACAGGUUCAUCUUUCAAGAUCUACUAUAUAUCAAAGAUAAAAUUACUAAAAGAAUAUAAAAUAUCCUAUGUUUAUAAUUCUUUUAUUAAAAAUAAAUAAAUUUGGAUUUUUUUUAAAUGUUUACGGUUUACCUGUGAUUUUAUAGAGUAUUUUGUCCAAUUCAAUGAUAAGGAUUUUUUUUUAUGAUCAAAGAAUAAAUAAAAUAAAAUGAGACAUUUCAUGAGUGUUUCAACCCUUAUACAAAACAUUCAAAACAGGUUUCCUAGCAUCCUAUCAACCAAAGAUCCAACAAACAUUACACUACAAACCAAAACAAUAAACUAGUUCAAGAUAUAGAAACCUAACAAAUACAGUUACAUCAAUCCACCAAAGAGAUCACACCAACUAAACAAGAUCUUUGUCAGCAGGCUGAAGUGCCAUAACCAAGUGUCGAACUCAAUAAAACCGAUCCUACAAGAAGAAAAUGUAAACCAAAAUUAGUUCACCAAAGAGAUCACACCCUUAGUAUAGGACACAACAUCCAACACCUAAACAAUAACUUUGCAAUAGACUGAAGUACGCCAAAUAAUCAAUUGUCAACAUCAACAAACCGAUCCUACGAGGAGGAUAAAUAAACUAGAGAUAUCCUGCAAAAAGCACACAACAACUUCCCAAACUGGAUAGAUCAGUAACCAAAAACACCACAUAUCAAUCUCCCAAAGCUCAAACACCAUAAAGAUUCAAACACCAAACCGAGAAGCAUACAUCAAAAACACUUCCUUUACCGCAGCAAUCCAGGAACAAAAUCAUCAACCUGACCCUGCCAAGUAGAAAAGACCAAAAAAACCUGCACAAACACAUUAUAUCUUUCAAACCUGCAGGAAGAAAUCAUAAGCCAAAUAGACAUGCACACAACACAAACACCUCCCAAACGCAACUCAAGGACACACACCCCAAUCCAACCUUACCAGAUGGGAGGACCUGAUGAAACCUGCAGAAAACACACCACUACUUCCGAUUCCGAUUCCGAUUCCGAUUCCGAUUCCGAUUCCGUUUAUGAGGAAAAGCAUUUAUCUAAAUUGAGGACAAAAUUUAACAUUGCACUUUAAUCUGUAUUGUUUAAUUUUUUGGUCAUAGAAGAUAACAAAUCAAACUCACCUCCUUCACACAUCGUUGCAUAUGACUAGAAGCCAAAUUAAUCACGGCUUUGGGUGAAGCUUUUAUUAUUUUCAAUGCGAUCAAACAGAAAAAGACGUGUUCCAAUGGAUUAUUUUAAAUAAACAUUUCGAUAUUUUACCAAAUCUAGAUGGUUAGUUUUCUUGUUAUUUGUAGACGGUUUAUCUUAGUGUUUUUAUUUGUAGAUAUGGUUAGAUGCUUUGUAAUUCAUCUUUAAAUCUUAUCAAUAACUUUUUUUUUUUAGCUUUUAUUUAUGAAAAAAAUCUUCGAUUUUCUUUUGCUUUUGUGACAUAGUAAAACAAAAACAUCUAUAAAUGUGUGAAACCAUGGGCAUAGUUCCAAAAGUGGUGUUCUUGAACAAACAGCAACUCCUUCCAUUUUUUUCCACACCCGUUCAGGACAGUUUUGGAUUUACGUGAAAAAGUUUUAAAUAUAUUUUUAUUUUGUCUCCAUAGAGUUAGAAAGUGAGACUCACGACAGCAACAAAUUCUGAAACGUAGUUUUCAACGAACUCAUAACAGGACCACUAGGUUGCGUGAUUUAGGGUACAUUCAAGAAACAUUUCCACAUCAAUUAUUUAAAAACUUAUUAAUUUUUCUAAUUAAGCUCUUUAAUUUAUUAAAAACUUUAUAUUAAUCAGUUCCUCGUAUAAGCUACGAUUUUUUUUUUCUAUUGUUAUGCAUAAAGAUUGGAUCACUCGUGAAUGAUAAAAAAAUUAAAAAAUUCAGAUUUUGAAUAUAAAAAAAAGUUAAUUAGAAUAAAAUAUUUUACUUUGACAGAAACUAAUUAUUAAUUAAUGAGUAUAUAUUUGUUAAUGAAGUAGUUUACUUUAUAUAUUUGUUAAUUACUUGAAGUAAGAAAAACAGUCUUUAUUAUAUAAAAAAAAGUUAAACUUCUUUUAAAAGUGAGAGAUAAGUUUGAGUGAUUUGAAAUGUUUUAUUAAGUAAACUCCACAUAACCCAAUAACCUAUGAAUUUGAAGUAAUUAAAAAUAUUCACGUUUAGUUCUAAUAAUUGUUUUUAUCAUGAGAAGAAACUUGAUAUACUAAGCACCUAAUUACUUGAGUGAAGGCUAACUCUAGAAGAUUCAACACAAGACCCCUUAACCUUCCCACAUUUAUAAUUCAAUUAAUAUCAAGCUAUUAAGGUUAAUCUCUUUUAUGUUCAUAUAUAAUACAAAUUCUUUUUUCAAUAUUACUUCAGGAAUAUUCAACUAUCUUGCAUACCCUUUUUUCUGUAUAGUGGAAAUUUUUGACUGUUUUUUUUCUGACAUUGAAAGAUUCUACAUGUGAUCAGCAAGUGGAGAAGUGUUACCAAGUUGCUCAAAAGCCUUUAUAAGACUUCCACAUCACUUACAAUAACCAACCAAGAUAUAGGUAAUAUUUCCUUAUUAUUUAUCGAUUUACAUUAAUUAUAAUACAAUUUUAUAUUAAUUAUAAAAAAAUUAUAUUUUUUAAUAAGUGAAUAAAAUUAAACAAAGUGACAAGAUAAAUCUAAUCAUGUCAAAAAAUUAAACGAAAAAGAAAACCAAGUUAAAAAUUUAUAAAUUUUGAAUAUUCAAUAAAAAAUUAAAAGUAUUGAAAUUUAUAACAUACUUAAAGAUAAUUACAUUUAUUUCAAAAGUUCUUCUUCUCAGUACACGUGUUUGAAAAAAAUCUUUGACUUCUCCGACAUCUUUGACUGAGUUCAUCACAUAUCCAUUAGACAGAGUUCUUAUGCCACAAGAGUGGAUGAAUUAAUCUUUAUUAAAUAUUUUAAUAAUUUUAUUAGUUAAUCUAAUAAUAAAAUUAGUAAUUUAAUUUACUUUGAAUUUUUUUAACAUAUAUUUAAAUUACUAAUAUCAAUUAAUAAUAUUAACCACACGUUUAAAUCAACAAUUUCACUUUAUAAUUUAUUGUACAAAAAAUUUUAGCUAACAUUUUAAAUUUCAUAUUAAAACUAUUAUAAAGUAUGAUUUAAAUUAGUAAUCAUUCACAAAUUUACAAUUCACUGCAUAAUAAUUUAAAGUUUUAACAUUUUAAAACUUAAGCUUAUAUGUUUUAAAUAUUUUUAUGUUAGCAUAAUUUGAAAAUAAUUAUUCAUUAGUAUUAUUGCUGAGAGUUACAUUUUACAAUACUUUUAAUAACAUUAAAAAGUUAAAAAUAGAUAUAAUUAAUCAUCUUUUGGUCAACGUCCAAAUUUGAGUUAAGAGAAUAUUAUAAAAUGAUUUUUCGAACAAGUGUAUUAAGUCUAAAAUAUUAUAAAAUGAUUUUUCGAACAAGUUAAAGGAGUAAUGUAAGUUAAACAGAUAAUUAAGUCUAAAACAUUAGAAAUAUUAAAUUUAUAAAAUAGCUAAAGAUAAUUAUUUUUAAUUUAUAAUUAUAUAAUUACUUAGUCUUUUGAAAAGUUGUCUUUCCCUCUGAAGCAAUGAAUGAUCUAUUUAACAACUCCUACCUCCAAACAGUAGAUACACUAAACUCCUUCAAAUGGAUUUUGUUCUAAGUUACCUGAAUACCACCACCAUUGGACUUGUUUCUCUUAUCAUCUUCUCUUUCUUUUUCUAUGGUCUCUUCAAAUUUUCUCAAGGGAAAGAAGCUCCCACAGUUGCAGGUGCAUGGCCAAUACUUGGUCACCUUCCAUUGUUGAGUGGUUCAAAGUCACCCCACAGAACUCUGGGUGCUUUGGCUGAAAAAUAUGGACCCAUUUUCACCAUCCAACUUGGUUCCAAAAAGGCUCUGAUAAUCAACAACUGGGAAAUAGCAAAGGAAUGCUUCACCACAAUCGACAUGGUUGUUUCUUCUCGCCCCAAGAUUCUCGCCUCUGAACUCAUGGGCUACAACCAUGCCAUGUUUGGCUUUGCACCUUAUGGUCCCUAUUGGCGCGAGAUACGAAAGAUUACAACGUUAGAAAUCCUUACUACUCGUCGAGUGGAACAGCUGCAGCAUGUUCGUGUCUCAGAACUUCAAAACUGGAUCAAACAGUUGUAUAAUGUUUGGUGCAGCCAGAAGAGUGAGUCUGGCUAUGCCUUGGUGGAGCUGAAGCAAUGGUUUUCUCACCUCGCAUUCAACAUGGUUCUUCGAAUGGUCGUUGGGAAGAGAUAUUUUGGUGGUGAAAACUUGCAAGAUGAGAAGGCACAGAGAUGUGUGAGGGCUGUGGAGGAGUUCAUGCGUCUGUUUGGGGUGUUCACAGUGGGAGAGUUUGUUCCAUGGUUGAGAUGGUUUGAUUUUGGAGGCCAUGAGAAGGCAAUGAAAGCAACUGC